rnacentral:rRNA from 1 species
AGUGGCGCACGGGUGAGUAACGCGUGGGAAUUUGCCUUUCGGUACGGGAUAACGUCUGGAAACGGACGCUAAUACCGUAUGAUGUCUACGGACCAAAGAUUUAUCGCCGAGAGAGGAGCCCGCGUAGGAUUAGGUAGUUGGUGGGGUAAUGGCUCACCAAGCCGACGAUCCUUAGCUGUUCUGAGAGGAAGAUCAGCCACACUGGAACUGAGACACGGUCCAGACUCCUACGGGAGGCAGCAGUGGGGAAUAUUGGACAAUGGGGGCAACCCUGAUCCAGCCAUGCCGCGUGAGUGAAGAAGGCCCUAGGGUUGUAAAGCUCUUUCGCCAGGGAAGAUAGUGACGGUACCUGGUAAAGAAGUCCCGGCUAACUCCGUGCCAGCAGCCGCGGUAAUACGGAGGGGACUAGCGUUGUUCGGAAUUACUGGGCGUAAAGAGUACGUAGGCGGCUUGCCAAGUUGGGUGUGAAAGCCCGGGGCUCAACCCCGGAACUGCAUUCAAAACUGGUUGGCUAGAGAUCGGAAGAGGUAAGUGGAAUUCCCAGUGUAGAGGUGAAAUUCGUAGAUAUUGGGAAGAACACCGGUGGCGAAGGCGACUUACUGGUCCGAUACUGACGCUGAGGUACGAAAGCGUGGGGAGCAAACAGGAUUAGAUACCCUGGUAGUCCACGCCGA